rnacentral:rRNA from 1 species
AGUCACUGACAUUAGAUACCCGUGUAGUCCAGGGUGUAAACGCUGCAGACUUGGUGUUGGGAACCCUUCGGGGGUGCUCAGUGCCGGAGAGAAGUUGUUAAGUCUGCUACUUGGGGAGUACGUCCGCAAGGAUGAAACUUAAAGGAAUUGGCGGGGAGCACCACAACGGGUGGAGCCUGCGGUUUAAUUGGACUCAACGCCGGAAAUCUCACCGGAUAGGACAGACAUAUGAUAGUCGGGCUGAAGACUCUACUUGAUGAUCUG